GUCUACCAGCAGUUCUUGACAGGACAAGCAGAAGGAUCCGUUCUGAGCUCUGAAGGGCAUUGAACAAACAUCACAGGCUACCGUCAAGAAACGGAAUGUGCUAAAGGCUUCUGAAAGCGAGGGGAAGCGCCGCGGGAAGCCCUCGAGCACGGAAACACUUCACUUCGCGGAACACCUACCGCAUCCCAGACCACGGCCGCCACCCCCAGCUGCCGCCAGUCCUGCCGGAGCCGGAUGGUGCGGCUGGCGAAGCGGGCAAGAGCUUAUCACAACAAUGAAGUUGCAAGUACAUGGCCUGGUUCAGCUUUUAAACACUGCAGAAGGCUGCAAGGACACCUAAGCUGCAGAUAAACUUGUGAAGUAGGGAAAAGCUGGCUUUAAGAGUUACAUUAAACAAUGGAAGUAAUGAUAAAAAAUAUGAAGAUGUAUAAUUUCUGAAGUGCUUGAGCUGAAACACAGGAAGAUUCUGGAGCCUCUGAAGAGGAAAUUGUUCCCAUUAGUAACAUUAUAUUCACGCCUUCAACCUCGGAUCUUGAUAAACUGUCAUACAUAAUCACCACGUUUAUUAAAAUGUCUUGUUACAGAAAGAUCACUUAGCUUUAAGUGGAACUGUGUGACUGAUCUCUCAAAGGCCUUGCAGGUCUGAAAGCUAACAUUAUUCUGAAGUUUUUAUUAAAGAACAAAAAGCAAAAUGAGUAAGCUCUUCACAAGCAACCACUGCAGUUCCAGCUGCACUUCAGUUGCUGGAAGCCUCCUUCACUCACCGCUGCACUUUCAGAAGUUCACAGAAGUUUGCAGCCUUAUCCAUGUCUCCAGUUGGUGGACUUCCAGACCAUGAAAUGCCACAUGUUGAGUCGUAUGAGAGGAGAGUCCCCAACCCACUGUGGUGUGACUGACACAUGAGCAGGCAUUGGUGUGCACAUGGGUGGAUACCAGGAAUGGUUGCUCCAGCAGUGCUCCAGUGAGCACAGGGCUGUGGUCAGGAAGUCGUGAUGCAGUGCUGUGAUUUCCCUCCUCUGCCAGCAGCUUCUGUACUCAUUGCAGCUGGUUGGUGGUUGUCAGCCAGGGCAACAUAUGUUUGGUGUGUGGGAACCUGCGCUGGGGAAAAAUGCUGCAAAAAAUCACCCUUCUACGGAGACGGAGUGUGGAUCUAGAGGCUUGAUAUUUGGUGGCCAGAUUUCUGAUGUGCUCUGGAGGUGCAGUGUUAUGUAAUUGGAGAGGAAAUUACAGUGCAAGCAAUGCCCUGUGUUAAUUUAACUAGUUAACAAUAACUAAUUUAAAAACAUUUAAAACCAAUUAUAUGGACAGGCAGACAACAGCUAUAGCAUUCACAUAUAUGCAAAAGCAUCUGCCUCACUGCAAAUGCUGCCUUUUAAAACCAAGCACAACUCAAGUUUACAAAAAAUGUGGGGGAUUUAGUGUUAUUUGUAAUGGUAUUGGUAGUGUUCUUCUGCACUUCUUAGAAGACAAUGGAGAAGCAGCAAGAGUCAAGUCUAAGCCGUUUCAGGUACCUUAAAGCUAAUAGGAGGUGCUCCUCAGAGCCUCCCUCCAGGUUUUGGUAGCCCAGGGAUGGAAUUGGAGCUUUAGAAGUUUGGCCUAAACAAACUUACUGCAGGGCUUUUGCAUGUAAUUUGACUUUUCUGAAUUAAGUCAUGCAUCCAUGUUAAUGUUUGUGUUAAAAAAAAUGGAAAGCAUUUUCCUUCUCCUCAUAGGAAAUUUGUGUCCAUAACCUACAGUAACAGCUAUUUCUAACACUUGGUACAUCAGAAUAGGAGUUCUGCCAGCCCUCUGCCCAAGGGUGCACAAAGUCCAACUUUGCAGGCCUCUGUCUUUCUUGGCUUCAGCACAUCUCGAAUAAUCUACUCAGGUACUAAGUCUCCAUUACCACUACCUUAGCCUUUGGUAACUGUGAAGCUAAUUUUACUUUACCUUAAGACAAAGUGAAAGUAAGAUCAGAAUAGAGAAGCUAAGGUAAAGAAAUAUUAAGUCCCGUAUGUCUGUGCUGUAGGUUUCCCUGCAGUGAUCCAGAUGCUCACAUGCCACCCAAGAAGCCUCUGCAUUGCUUGUAAUGACAUCUUAGAUUGCUGCAGAGGCAAAAGAACAGAUUUAAUCAAUGACACCAGCACUGCAGUCUGUUCUUAUGCUAUGAAACACAGGCUCCCAGCCCUGGCUUGCAUGCAUUCACCUCUAGCCAAGGGUAGUACAGAAGAUUUAAAAGUAAGAAGAUUUAGGGCUACUAAAAAUCCUCCUUGUAUGUUCUGAACAGCAUCACUGGUUUGUCUUUUUUUUUUUUUCCCAAAAAACAUUGAAAUCUUCUAUUUCCCGAACUAGCAUUUUGCUUCGGGAUUUUUCCCUUAAAUGGCCAUAGUCUUAUUUUACUUGUCAACUUCAAAAGACAAUCAAGGGUGCAAUAUUUUUGUCCUGCCAGCUGCUGGUGGAUUUCAAAACAGGAUGCCUGUUUUCCCCCUCAUUAUGUGCAACAGUGAGACACAGAAUUCUGAGCUUUUGUUUUCAGUUGGUUAUACAGGUUCAACCUGGUGAUUCAUUCUUCCUGCAGCUAUGUUUCCAGGAAAAGACAAAGUCCUGGCUCUUCUCCAAGUAUCCAUAGAUUGCUUGAGAGUAAGAUCAGAAGGCAAUCCUUCUCCCUCAGCUGGGACACUUUCUAAGAAGAGAAAAAUUGAGCAAAACACAUCCCAGAGCUCAUGUUAUCACUCUCCAGACAAGCAAGGAGGCACAUGUCCUUGGAGAGGCAUGUGCAGUACUAAGUCAAGGUGAAGAUAACAGCAGAGUUUACAAGACUUCAGAAUCUUGGCCCUGUGAAGCACAGCCAAGCAUUUGCAAGGAACCUUUCUCCAUUUCCGGGACUGAUGGUGACUGUGAAGCUGGAUGGCUUAUAGAAAAUCCUAUAGUCUAAUCUCAAGCUUUUUAGAAGACUCUCAGAUUCUUGUUGCAGUUGGUGUCUGCAAGAACCUGCCCUUGGAUUUGGGAAUUUUUCAAGUGUCGUUAUUCAGAUAGGAGCUGGUAACUAUGGUUUCUGAUGUCUCCUCUCAGGGAUGCUGCUGCUCAUAGAUGAAGGGAAGCCUGGUUUUGCUUCAUGAAGCAAGGGGCUACAGCGCUGUGUUGUUAUGAAUACACGUGCUAAGCUUUCAGAGAGGGAGUGAAAUAAAAACAUGCAGAAAUCUACCUACAAGUAGCCAUUGCAGGAAAUCUAGACUUGUCUGAGAAGUGGAGUUCCUUUGAACACAAGCUGCUGCUCAUGUGGACUGGGCAAACAGGCCAACUAAAGAGACAGACUUAGCCACCCCUAUAAGCCCACAAGCCAAAUCACAGCUGGUUGCACUAAUGUUAGUCCUGUCAAGCCUGGCAGCCUUCAUUUAUGAUGAACCCUGCACAUAAUUACACAUAUAGUUAGGCUUAUAGUUCCAAGCUGCAUUCAGUAGUUGGCAGGGUACGUUCCUGGUUGUUACAGAUCCUUUGACCUCAUUAGAUUCACAUCAGGAGUGAAUCUGGUCCUUUGUCUUUCAGAAUAAAUCAUAGGUCUUUUUCAUCUUAGUAUCUCAGGAAUAUAGGUUGCUCCUCCCUUGGCUGUCAUCACUAUCUGACUGAGGUUUUGUUUCAGGAUUCUGCCUGGCCUUCCUUAAAGGCUGUGUGGAUUUCUCCUGACAAUUACAGCAACUUCUCCAUAGGGCUUAAAUUAGCUUUCGUUUCCCACAUUUUGGAAAGUUGCUUUCCCUUUUGUGAAAAUUAAAUCAAACAUACUCUUUCCCCACCACACAUUAUUGAAAGUUACACAUGAGCCAUCACUUGGAGGAGAAAUGAAGGCCUGUAUAACAAACUUGUUCUCUUUAGGGAAUGGUGACAUUAAGUGUCAAAUUUAUAAACUCCCAUCCAUGCUGGCAUUAACACCCGCUGGGAUCCAUUUGGUAAUCAGUAUUGCUUUCAUAAAAGCAAGACUUAGGUUGGGGAGAAAAAAACAAAAAGCAAGCCAACCUAUGAUGCCAGAACAAGUGAAAAACUGCUCUGCUCCUCUCUGUUCCCUGGCAGAAAGAUGCAGUAUGCUUUUGAGGAUCAGACUUAAGGAUUCUACUAAGGUUACUCCCAUCCUUGGUUUCCAGAGCAGUCCAUCUCUCCCCUGGCAGCUGUAGGGCCUGUGUCCCUGUCCCAACAGCAUCUGUCCAUGCUCUGGGCACUGCAGAUCCUCAGUCUGCCCGCAGCAGCUCAGCUGUGUGGCACCUUUCAAGAAAACCUGCUGUAGCCCACUUGCCAGAAAACAUUUUUCUUCACACUAAGGCAUGGCUGCCUUGGUAGGAAAUAGCUGCCAGGUAGGAGAGGGGAUGGGAUGCUCCACAGCAGCAGCUCCCACUGCAUUGAUCUGCUCUGUGCUCAGAGUCCAGCCAGCACUCCAGGGGGAUAUUCUUAUGUGUCAAUUUUCAGGACAGUGCUGAGAGCCGGUCGUUCUUCCCCAUAGUGAGAGACUAAAACCUGUGUGGUAUGCAACUGAAACAAGAAAAACCUUUCACCAUUUUAAGAAGUUUGCCCAGCACAGAGGAUGACACCAGUUCUUUCUGAUUUGUUUGAAUUUUGUCUGCAACUGUGCAGGUUCAAGCCCAGUUCCAAAUAGGCUGUAGCUCCUGAUCCAGCUUCUUCCCAAGUCUCUGCCUCUGGCUUGAAGCGAACAAGCAAAUACACUCAUGAACCCCAUUCCCAUCAACCUGAUGGUCUUUCUUUCAUGGUAGUUUUCACCCCAUACAUCUUGUAGCAGCAGCAUCCUUCCCUAGAGAGGUGCAGAAGUGGCACACUGUCAGCAGUGGGACUGGUGUUUGGCAGUGUUGCCCUCAGCUCCUCCCCAGGAAUAGCAGUGAUUCUCCCCCAUUAUCUGAGAGAUCGGGACUGCUGCUCUGCAAUAGGACUUACUAAUCCUUAUUGGCCAGCCCUGUAAUCGGGAGAGCUCAAUAAAACUGGUCCACCCUCCUUGCAGGAUCACCUGCUCUGGGAAUUGCCCUGCCUCAGCUGCAGUCCUGGUAAGCCAGACAGCCCUGAAACCUGGAGGGGGUGAACACUGUGACUAAGGGGAAAUGCUUCAGGCAGGAAGGAAAAACAGUUAACUUCAACAGAUUAUGUAAAAGCAAGGUAUUUUAUUUCUGUGAGCUGUCAACUGGGUCCCCUACUCAGAGAGAAGGAGCAGUAAUUGGGGGUCCCACAGCACAAACCUCUCUUCCCAAAGCAGCAGGGAAAGGGGCUGGUUCUCAACCAUCUGUAGGAAGCUAUUUUCAGCUAAUGUGUUCAUUAUUGCCAAGAUUUGCCAUCCAAAAUGCCUAUUUAUCAUGCAAAAUGUGGCACUAGGUAUGUGCUGCCCAUUGUACACCAAAGGAAUUGAUUUUUUUAUAAUGGAAACUGUCUGGUGAUUCACUGGGGUAAAUCAAGCAAAACAGUAGAAAGACAAGAUGGAAAAUAGGAAGUGAACCUGGACUGGUAAUAAAUCAUGGUAGAUGGUAUUCAAUAUAUUGCUAUAGCAGUAAGUCAAUAGAGUACUAAGCUGCAUAAAUAAAAGAUAAUGUGUUUCAU